rnacentral:rRNA from 1 species
UACGUAGGGGGCAAGCGUUGUCCGGAUUUAUUGGGCGUAAAGAGCUCGUAGGUGGUUCGGUAAGUCGGAUGUGAAAUCUCCAGGCUCAACCUGGAGGGGUCAUUCGAUACUGCCGUGACUAGAGGUCGGUAGGGGAGUGUGGAAUUCCUGGUGGAGCGGUGAAAUGCGUAGAUAUCGCUUGGAACGCCAAUGGUGAAAACAGCAGGCUGGGGGUGUGCUGACGCUGAGACGCGAAAGCCAGGGGAGCAAACGGG